rnacentral:rRNA from 1 species
UUUACGGGAGGCAGCAGUGGGGAAUAUUGCGCAAUGGGGGAAACCCUGACGCAGCGACGCCGCGUGGGUGAUGAAGGCUUUCGGGUCGUAAAGCCCUGUCAAGAGGGAAGAACUGUCUGGGUGCUAAUAGUGCCUAGGCUUGACGGUACCUCUAAAGGAAGAUCCGGCUAACUCCGUGCCAGCAGCCGCGGUAAU